UUUUUAUGAAGUUAAUUCUGUUUCUUUCUUGUCUUUAGGAGCAUAUCAGUUUGUUGUACAUGGUAUGGCAAUCCCUAUUUCUUAGUUUCAGUUGCUUAGUUUCAGAGGUUGUACUGUCUAUUAAUGGACAGAAAUCAUUUGAAUAAAGUCAGGAGAUUUUCUGAAUAA